rfam:Triticum urartu cultivar G1812 contig577185, whole genome shotgun sequence.
CUUGUACUCCCUCCAUCCGAAAAUACUUGUCAUUGAAAUGGAUGUAUCUAGAUGUAUUUUAGUUCUAGACACAUCCAUUUUGAUGACAAGUAAUUCCGGAUGGAGGGAGUACUUG